CCAGGACAUGCGGGAUUUAUUCAGCCCGGGUCUGUCACUUGUAUCCACGGCGUUAGAUCGCUCCAUCUGGCGGUGUACAUGCCGAUUAUCAUUCAGCUCCUACCUCACUACUGUCUUGGUUCAGACAUGGACGAAAGAUCUAAACUCCAGAGAAUCAUAGAACUUAACCUGACGGAUUAAUAGUUGAAAACAACAUUUUACAUAAACAUCGUGCAUUGAAUUUCAACAGCAACAAAGCUGCUAAAGAAUUAAAGCACAUUUCUAAACAUUAAAACAGUAAAUUAUUCAAAUCCAUUCACACAAAAUGAAUUGAACACCCAAGACCUUACUCAAGUAGGAUUUUGUAAAAAUGAAAAUAACAUAUUUUUCUAUUUGAUGCAAGAUCUUUGUACAAAUAUAACUUGAUCAUAAUGAACCUAACCCAGACUGCAUUCAUUCUCACUCCUCAAAAACAUGGAAAUCCACAAAGAUACAAGCAGUCUCUCUCCCUCACACUCACACACACACUGACAGGAUCAACGUUAAAUAACAUCAAUAAUUUUCAGAGGACGUUGAAUAAGUAGAAUUGCAUGGAAUGUUCAUCAAUUUUUGAUGGUGUUAUCAUGUUAUAUAUUUUAUUUUAAAAAUGCUCUUCUGAGCUUUUAGAAAUACAUACAACAAUUUAAUAGCUGCCCCCUAGGAAACACAUGACUGUUCCCAUUGCUAGUGUGAUCUGGUAUCUCAUUAGCAACUGAAAAGGAAGCUAUUCAGAAUUUGAUUCACCUUUGUACAACACAAUGGCCCCUUACUGGUGUGAGAAUUCAAAGCUUCCGAGACAAAGUGGAAACUGGAAGGAACCCCCACAUCCCUCAAACCUCCAACAAGAAAUUCCAGCAUAGCUGACUUUACUGUACAGAACAAUGAUUCAUCAAAAGGUAAUAAAGAAACUAUCCUGCUUUUGAGGUUGAUCUGUUGAGGAUAAUCUGAGGAUA